CCAAAGUGCGGGGAUUACAGGCGUGAGCCACUGUGCCUGGCUGGAAGUUGCUGUUUUGAGGUGCUUAGGCCCAAGCCCGGGAAUCUGCUGAAUGAAUGCAUGAAGGUGGAGCCCUUUCUCUUAAUGCACAGGCACCGCUGAGAGCACCUGGAAAGAGAAGACCCUGCCGGACUCUCCUCUCCCUUCACUUCAGGUUCCCAGGAAGUACCAAGAUUAGUGUCAAUGAAAAGAUGGAUCAAAACUGCCUAGAAAAGGCUUCAGUGGUGCUCAGACUGGAUGAUUGAAUCCUGAAUAAUUGGAAAUCAACAGCACCACCAUGCUCUGUGACACCCGUGACCUUCCACAAGCUGUCUCUUCUACCAGGAUGUUACUGCCACCACUGUCUCCCAGCCAACUCCUAGUUAUCAUAUAAAGCCGAGCUCUAACUUCGCUGUCUCCAGGAAGUUUCUGUCACCCUCGAAAACUGUAAGAUACAAAAGACAAGAAGACAACCACAGGAACAACCAGAAAAAAAAGACACCUGACCUCCAGGGUCUUGCUCUGUUGCCCAAGUUACAUCACAGUGGUGCAUCCAAGGCUCACUACCACCUCAACAUCCUGGGCUCAAGUGGUCCUCCUGCAUCGGCCUCCUGAGUAGCCGGGACUACGGGUGUACACCACCAUGACCAGGUAAUUGUAUUCUCUUUUUGUGGUGAUGGGGUCUCAUUAUGUUGUCCAGGCUGGUCCUGAACUCCUCAGCCACUCAAUUUGCUGAAAUUAUAGGCCUGAACCACCAUGCCUGGCCAGGAUAAAUUUUUACAGCCUUGGAGUAGCAAAAGAUUUCUUAAAUAAGACACUAAACGUACAAGUUAUAAAUUAAAUGAGUGAAAGAUCUGACUAUAUUUACAUUUUAAAAAACCUUUCUGGGCCAGGCACAGUGGCUCAUGCCUAUAAUCCCAGCACUUUGGGAGGCCGAGG